rnacentral:sRNA from 1 species
CGACAAUAUCAUAGAGAAGACGGUUUACAAGAAUGUGUUGGUCGGUGAGUUAUUUUGACAAUUUUAU